rnacentral:antisense_RNA from 1 species
GUCUAUGGCGGUCGUGCGUGGGAGACCUUCGGGUCUGCCGGUUCCUAGAGUGCCGGUUCGCCAACCUGCGUACGGCCGCCCCCAUC